CACAUGCAUUAGCCAAUUAGAAUCAGCCAAGUGGCCAACUUAAAUGAUUUAAACAAGCCAUUUAGCAGUAAAGAAGUCUUCUUUUUCUCUUAAUAGCAUCACUACCUUUGUAUAAAUAUAUUAUCUUCCUCCUCAAACAAAUACACUCAAUUCUCUCUCUCCCUUCUCAGUUUGCUCAUCUCUUUCUCCUCAGCCGCAAACUCAAGAUCAUGGAUGUUAAAUCCGUUAGUUAUCGAUCUUCUAUGCGGCAAGUUUGUGUAUGUAUGAGUAACUCUUCUCUUCCUUUUCCCCCUAUAUAUACAAAGAGUACAUGUUAUAUAUAUACUGAUAGGUUGUUAAUCUUUUUCUGGUUCGAUUUAGACCAUCUGACCAUACAAGGUUUGGAUAUUUCCCGAAUCUGAGAGGUUAUAUCAUAUAUGUAUAUAUGAAAGUGUGUAUUUGUACUAAGAUUUGUUUCUUUCUUUGGUCAAGAAGAAACUUAGAUGUGUGUAAUUUUUCUGGUCAGAAUUAUAUAUGUGAAUCUAAUUAGAGCUGUUCUCAAACUUUUAGGUUUACUUUUAUGUCGAUUUUUGUUAAUUUUUACACCACAGAUAGAUAAAAGUUUUAAAAGAGAAUAGGGUUUUACUGUUUGGGGAGGUACAUGGUUUUACACUUAUAUUCAGACCUUGUCUUUUAUAAGAAAAUACAGUAUAUUUAUUUAUAUUGUUUUGAGACUCAUGUGGGUUCACUUGUAACUAGGCCUUGUGUGCUUGAUAAUACCCACACAUUCAAACUGUGUUGAACAAGUUUCGAACCUUGAUACCAAUGGAAAUAAGGCCUAAUUUAGACUCCAAAUUAGUAUUAUAUAUAUAUAUAUAUAUAGAAGGGUUUUAAUAAUCAACCUAUCUCUUCUCUCUUCUUCUUCUUCUUUUUUUGUGUUUUUUCUUUUGUUAAAUAUGUUAUACAUAUAUAUAUCCCUUGUUGCCUUGACAGUAUGUGGUGGUUUAAUUGUACAUGAGUGAAGUUGGGAAUCAGUCGUUGUUUGCUGGUGUAGCACCAUCAAGAUUCACAUGCAAAUGCAAGUGUUGUUGGUCAUAAUAAUGUAAAUGUAAAAAUGAAUUAUAUUUACAAUCUGUGGCUGGCAAUAGGGCCAUUUUGGUGAUGAGAAUCUUGAUGAUGCUGCAUUGGCAAUAGAACGACUAUACUUGAGCAUGUUGGUACGAGCUAGGGCCUAAUCACCUCAAUAUAUAUAUGACUGAAAGUGACAGACCAAUCAAGUCCGCAAAUGGCUGAUCUGUCACCCGGCUUUACAACUUUUCUCUCAGGCCAGUUCCUUUCAGAUGACCAACUGUAGGCAUUCAUUUGGACUUCUACUAGUUCCAAGCUAGGGCUUUUCCAAUUAAGUUGGGUAAUUUAUUAAUUACAGUAGCUUAAUUUGUUGCCGCUCUUUAUAUAUAAUUAAGGGCAAGCUUAAUUAGUAAGUGAUUAUGAAUUUUAAUGGUUGGAAGACCAUAUUAGUAGGGAUAACUGGAAAACACACCGAUCGGUUGUGCCAAAAUGUACAUUUUUUAAUUUGUUCUGCGAAGUAAUAUUUUGGUUCAAGAACAAUGACGUUGUUAAUUAUAAGAGAUGUUUUUUUUUUGGUCACAUUAUAUUAUAAGAGAAAUUGUUAGUAAGAAUAACAACACAUAAAGAGUCUUGAUCAUUUAUAUGAAUCUCAGUACUAGUGCUAUAAUAUCAUCAGUCUUUUACCAGCUCAUCAGUUGAUUCAAGUGAAAUGGACCUACAUUGAGUCAUUGAUGCACAACUUUACACAAUUAUGUACGCUGGUCCCGGUGACAUGGAAUGCUUUGAAUUUUCCCUUUAGUCGAUCAGAGCGGCAUUGAAGAUUACCACCACCAUGCUCGUGCUUCUCUCUCAGCCUCAUCUGGAGCAUCUUUAUCAAAUAUCUCUUCACGUCUUCUGAUUUUUGUUCUCUUGGUAUCGGUGUACAUCCUUCAUUGGCCACUGCCGGGUCAGUUUCUCAUCAUGGUCAUUUUUUCGUCGCUCAAUUAUUAUGUUUCCUCCGAUUUUUUUUUUAUCGAUACAGUAUACAAAAUUACAAUAAAAUGGCUAGUCUUGCAGAUAUUAAACCAGAUCCGUCAGAAGUGAGCAAGCUUCCGACUCUAAUAAUCCGUUGGUCUGUCAGGAAGUGGUCCUGUGGAAAUUAACGUUUGUCGGAAGUGAUUUACCUGGAACAUUUGUCAGAGAUGGAGCACUAAUCAGCUUAAUAUAACAAUCAACAGACAACGCCAUUAGAAUUACAUGACAGCUCAGCCAUCAAAGACAAAGAUGCACAGCAACAAACAAACCUAAUCAUCAAGCAGCAGUACCACUUGACGUCUCUCUCGGUUGAGUUCACAGUUAUACAAUUUCCAUUUUGGAAUCUUUCAUUACAAUGAAUGUUCACAAACCUCUGUGUUAAAUUUUUCUGUUAAAAUUUCAAGUAUAGUAAUAUUUUUAUAGUGUUUACCAGAAGCAAAUUCAUCUGUUUCUCAUUAGAAAUAGCUUUUCCCGGCCAUCUAUUGUUCGCUCAACACCAAUGGUUCCUACUAAUUAGGAACUACUGGUUGCAGACUUGCAGUACUAGAAUAUGUUAGACCUAAUUAACCAAUAUUGUACGGAGAGUGUGUUUUGUAUUGUAAAGUCAUUCUUAUAUAUAGUUGUUAAUUUUUUGCAA